rnacentral:rRNA from 1 species
GCUUGGAAGCAGCCAUUCAUUUAAAGAGUGCGUAACAGCUCACUAGUCGAGGAGUUUGGCGUGGAUAAUAAUCGGGCAUCAAGUAUUUUACCGAAGCUAUGGGAUCAUUAAUGAUCGGUAGGGGAGCAUUCCACUCCGCGUCGAAGGUGAAGCGUGAGCUUUGCUGGAGCGUGUGGAAAAGCAAAUGUAGGUAUAAGUAACGAUAAAGGGGGUGAGAAACCCCCUCGCCGAAAGACUAAGGUUUCCUGAUCAACGCUAAUCGGAUCAGGGUAAGUCGGGUCCUAAGGCUCAGCCGAAGGGCGAUGCCGAUGGCAGAAACGGUUAAUAUUCCGUUACUACCUCCAGGAGUGAUGUGGAGACGCAGUAGUGACAAUGCCGCCAUCUGACGGAAUAGAUGGUUGAAGGGUGUAGAUGUUGAUCUUGGCAGGCAAAUCCACCAUGAGAAUCGAACCUGAUAGUAUGCCGCGUCCCUCGGGACAAGGCAAUAGUGCAUGUAAUCAUGCUGCCAAGAAAAUCCGCUAAACAAAAUCCUGUAGGUACCCGUACCGUAAACGGACACACGUAGUCGGGAUGAAUAUUCUAAGGCGCUUGAGUGAUUCACGGUUAAGGAACUAGGCAAACUGACCCUGUAACUUCGGGAUAAAGGGUCCCUACCCGGUGACGGGAGGGCGCAGAGAAUAGGUCCAGGCAACUGUUUAACAAAAACACAGGGCUGUGCUAAAUCGAAAGAUCCUGUAUACAGCCUGACACCUGCCCGGUGCUGGAAGGUUAAGAGGAGACGUCAUCGUUGAGAGAAGCGUUGAAUUGAAGCCCCAGUAAACGGCGGCCGUAACUAUAACGGUCCUAAGGUAGCGAAAUUCCUUGUCGGGUAAGUUCCGACCUGCACGAAUGGUGUAAUGAUCUGGACGCUGUCUCAACCGUGAGCUCAGUGAAAUUGUAGUAUCGGUGAAGAUGCCGAUUACCCGCGAUGGGACGAAAAGACCCCGUGAACCUUUACUAUAGCUUAACAUUGAAUUUGGGUAAUUGAUGUGUAGGAUAGGCCGGAGGCUUCGAAGCAGGUACGCCAGUAUUUGUGGAGCCGCUGUUGAAAUACGGCCCUUUGAUUAUUUGAGUUCUAACCCGUGGCUGCGGGGACACUGUUUGGUGGGUAGUUUGACUGGGGUGGUCGCCUCCAAAAGUGUAACGGAGGCUUCUAAAGGUGCCCUCACGACGAUUGGUAACCGUCGGCAGAGUGUAAUGGCAUAAGGGCGCUUGACUGGGAGACUAACAAGUCGAUCAGGUAGGAAACUAGAGCAUAGUGAUCCGGUGUUUCUGUAUGGAAAGGACAUCGCUCAAAGGAUAAAAGGUACUCCGGGGAUAACAGGCUGAUCCCUCCCA